GGGCCCGCACAAGCGGUGGAGCAUGUGGUUUAAUUCGAUGCAACGCGAAGAACCUUACCAGGGCUUGACAUACUGCGAAUCUUUCUGAAAGGAGAGAGUGCCUUCGGGAAUGCAGAUACAGGUGGUGCAUGGCUGUCGUCAGCUCGUGUCGUGAGAUGUUGGGUUAAGUCCCGCAACGAGCGCAACCCUUGUUUUUAGUUGCCAUCAUUUAGUUGGGCACUUUAAAGAGACUGCCGGUGAUAAACCGGAGGAAGGUGAGGACGACGUCAAGUCAGCAUGCCCCUUACGCCCUGGGCUACACACGUACUACAAUGGCCGAGACAAAGAGUCGCAAGUCUGCAAAGGCAAGCUAAUCUCAUAAACUCGGUCUCAGUUCGGAUUGCAGGCUGCAACUCGCCUGCAUGAAGUUGGAAUC
rnacentral:rRNA from 1 species